ACAUGCAAGUCGAACGGUUCUCAUCCUUCGGGGUGAGGAGAGUGGCGGACGGCUGAGUAACACGUGGGUGACCUGCCCUCGAGCGGGGGAUAACUGCCCGAAAGGGUGGCUAAUACCGCAGACAUCGGUGAUUCGGUUCACCGCUUGAACCUUUGGGGUUCGAGGAGGGGCCCGCGGUCGAUUAGCUCGCUGGUGGGGUAACGGCCUACCAGGGCAUCGAUCGAUAGCUGGUCUGAGAGGAUGAUCAGCCAGACUGGGACUGCGAACGGCCCAGACUCCUACGGGAGGCAGCAGUUAGGAAUUUUGGGCAAUGGGCGAAAGCCUGACCCAGCAACGCCGCGUGGGUGAUGAAGGCCCUCGGGUCGUAAAGCCCUUUUCCCAGGGAAGAUAAUGACGGUACCUGGGGAAUCAGCCCCGGCUAACUACGUGCCAGCAGCCGCGGUAAUACGUAGGGGGCAAGCGUUGUCCGGAUUUAUUGGGCGUAAAGCGCUCGCAGGUGGUUCGUUGCGUCAUGCGUGAAAGACCCCGGCUCAACUGGGGGGCGUCGUGUGAUACGGGCGAACUGGAGGCCAGUAGGGGGAUGCGGAAUUCCGGGUGUAGUGGUGGAAUGCGUAGAGAUCCGGAGGAACACCAGCGGCGAAGGCGGCAUCCUGGACUGGUCCUGACACUCAGGAGCGAAAGCGUGGGGAGCGAUCCGGAUUAGAUACCCGGGUAGUCCACGCUGUAAACGAUGAGCACUAGGUGUCGGGGGUAUCGACCCCCUCGGUGCCGCAGCUAACGCGAUAAGUGCUCCGCCUGGGGACUACGGCCGCAAGGCUAAAACUCAAAGGAAUUGACGGGGGCCCGCACAAGCAGCGGAGCGUGUGGUUUAAUUCGACGCAACGCGAAGAACCUUACCUGGGCUUGACAUGCACGUGGUACGAGUGGGAAACCACGAGGACCCGCAAGGGAGCGUGCACAGAUGCUGCAUGGCUGUCGUCAGCUCGUGCCGUGAGGUGUUGGGUUAAGUCCCGCAACGAGCGCAACCCUCGCUGCCAGUUACCAUGUCUGGCGGGACCGCCGGGUCC
rnacentral:rRNA from 1 species